GACGAACGCUGGCGGCGUGCCUAAUACAUGCAAGUUGAGCGCUGAGGUUGGUACUUGUACCAACUGGAUGAGCAGCGAACGGGUGAGUAACGCGUGGGGAAUCUGCCUUUGAGCGGGGGACAACAUUUGGAAACGAAUGCUAAUACCGCAUAAAAACUUUAAACACAAGUUUUAAGUUUGAAAGAUGCAAUUGCAUCACUCAAAGAUGAUCCCGCGUUGUAUUAGCUAGUUGGUGAGGUAAAGGCUCACCAAGGCGAUGAUACAUAGCCGACCUGAGAGGGUGAUCGGCCACAUUGGGACUGAGACACGGCCCAAACUCCUACGGGAGGCAGCAGUAGGGAAUCUUCGGCAAUGGACGAAAGUCUGACCGAGCAACGCCGCGUGAGUGAAGAAGGUUUUCGGAUCGUAAAACUCUGUUGGUAGAGAAGAGCGUUGGUGAGAGUGGAAAGCUCAUCAAGUGACGGUAACUACCCAGAAAGGGACGGCUAACUACGUG
rnacentral:rRNA from 1 species